ACCGGCGUAGCUCAAGUUGGAUAGAGCACCGGGUUAGUAACCGGCGGUGUCUGGAGUUCGCAUCCCCAGAGAUCAGCCACAUAACUUAACCGGAAGACGUGGGAUCGUACCCCACCGCUGGUC